GCCGGGCGCGGUGGCGCGCGCCUGUAGUCCCAGCUACUCGGGAGGCUGAGGCUGGAGGAUCGCUUUAGCGAGACCCCGUCUCGACUAAGUUCGGCAUCAAUAUGGUGACCUCCCGGGAGCGGGGGACCACCAGGUUGCCUAAGGAGGGGUGAACCGGCCCAGGUCGGAAACGGAGCAGGUCAAAACUCCCGUGCUGAUCAGUAGUU
rnacentral:SRP_RNA from 1 species